UAAAAAGUUUUUGUGAUUGAUAAAUUGCCCUGAGCAAAUCAAAACUCUUUAUCUAAAAGAACUUCAAAUCAUCCCCUAGACUGUUUCUUAGCUGAAGUGGAACCAGGGUGGAACAGUGAGUGAAAAUGCUUUACUCAAGAAGUGUUACUGCUGGUGACACAUCAAUUAGUCAUCUUCUCUAAGUGUACUGCCUCACAUUCAGCUCCAGUGUUCUUAUAAUACAGGAUAUUUUUAGCUAUGUUUCAUUAUAAUGGAGGAAAUUCUCCUCCAGCAGAUAGUAAGAGUCUUUCAACAGCAUUUAGUUUGUGUACUUGCCUCAAGAAUUAAUUUGGCUUCUUGUAUCUUCAUAAACUUGUAAUUCUUGUUUUGCAAGUUUCUCUUUGAUAUUUAGGCAAAGGAUAGUCUUGCAGUUAGAGAACAAAAAUGAGGAGCGUGACAUCCAUGCCUGGCUCGGUACUUCCUGGAGAAAACAAAGGAGACAGAAAACAAGAGAUUGAAACCAGUUACUCAGGAAGUCCUGUGGAAUACAGAGCCACAACUUAGAGGGUACAAGGGGGGCCCUUCAGUGCCUGGAGCAGCAGAUUGGUGUCCCAUGAGAACGGGAAGGUAAAAGUGCAGAUGAAGUCACCAGGAGGCCAUACCAACAUCACCAAAGUGGCACAGGCUGAGGCAUGCCACCAAAGUGUCUCAAUAAAACAUCCUCCAAAGCAUAUUGUGUCA